UUUAGAUUGGUGGGAUAGAACGACUAGCGGUACCAGUGACAUAAUCUCACAUGGAAUCAAUUCUCUCAUAAUUCUUGGAGCCUAGAUGAUAUGGACUCAUCACAAUAGGUGUGUCUUUGAUGGAGCAUCCCCUAAUAUUAGAAGAAUUGUUAUCAUUGCUAGAGAUGAGCGUAAAUUAUGGUUGUUUGCUAGGGCUAGAGGUAUUUCUUUCCUGACUACCCCCAUUCAGAUUGCUAGGAUCCUUGAGCUUCUGCUGGUCGCCUCUUGAAACUUAGUCUCGAGUGCGCUUUCAUCCUAAGGAUCAAAGUUUAGGGGGUCAUGUGAGUGGGUGUGACUUGUUGUGUGUGUAUGUGUGUGUGUGUUUGUGCUGGGGGUGUGUUGUAUGGGUACUUUUCACUUCUUAAUAGAAUGAUAUGCAACUCUCCUCUAUUUUUUUGAGAAAAAACUCACAAAGCAAUGCACUUGAAUCUCACUCAAUCUCACUUGGAUGAUCAAUAAAGCAAGGAGAUGAGUGGAGGGGAUGUUCUCCAGCACAAAGUAAGCCUUAAGUAUUCAGAUGUGCAAGAGAGAAGCCACCAAACACGGCCACCUUCUAUUUAUAACGUUUCACCCAAGGGCUAGCCAUUAGGGCAAACUCAGGGGCAUCGGAUGCUCUGACGCUUGCUCGCUGUUAAUAUUUAGGAACGCAAUAAGGAAUUGAUCCGCAAGCGCACGGAUAUCGGUGAGCACUUCACCCGGGAGGUUAUCCAGAGUAUCGUAUUUAUAUUUUUACCACUAGGAGAAAGAGUGCAUCUGACUAACCCGGUCUAUUACUACUAACCCUUUAGGCAACAAAGAAUGUUUCUCGAUGUGAGUGAUAAAUAGAGAAGACUACAACCGUAAUCUCCUUCUAACCUUGGUAAGGAUGAUCUACUGUUCUAUUGGGGAGGCUAACGGAAUCUAGACACCACAGAGGAUGUUCAACCCGCACCUAUAAACCCUAUCCUUCCUGCUAACAAGAUAUGGUAUACAAAGGUAACUUGGAAAUGUCACGUUCCUCGCUACUACCACGGUCCAGCUAGUUAGGGAAUAUCUAUGAGUAUCCUAGCCUAACCACCACGUCUACGCUAAAGAUGAUUACUCUAAACUCUACGCGAAGAGAUUAAAGUAAACUCAUAAACCAAAAGAACAAUAAAACAAGAACUUACUAGAAUUUAGAAGUCGAAAUACUGAAGAAUCCUAGGAGCAAGCUUCGGGUUAGGAGAACUUGAUCUCGCAGGUACAAACUUGGAGUAGACACCGAUAGGCCGGGCUUCCUCCGAUCUACACCUCCGCUCUAUCUCUCUCAAUCUAGUAGAAACUAGAAGAUCUAUUUCUACUCACAUUGGUUGCUAAGCCUAAAAAGAAAUUGUAUUUAGAGGAGAGGUAUUCCUUCGAGGGAUCCUCUCAACUCUAUGAAAAACUUGUCUCCUCCAGGGGAAAGGGGGUCUGGUUUUAUAGUCCCUUCAAGUGAACGUGAGCCAUUGGAUCAAACCGAUAUUGAAUGGACGGUUAUCCUUGAUCCUUUAGGUCGGUGGAGCGUCGUGUGCGAAAAGAGUCCCGAACCAAGUCCAAAGGGGGGUGGGCGCCCAGGUCAACUGGGCGGGCGCCCAGUGUCUGGCACCGUUCGGCCUCCGCUUCCUUCCCGUGGCUUCUAGAGUCUUCUAGAUGGUAGAAAAUUGCGCGGUGCGUUGAUAUCUCUAUGUAAUCCCGACAUGUGGGCCUUUCUUCCUUAUUUCCUGAUAACCCCCUGCAGAAAUAGAUAAACAACAAAACUUGUGGAAUUCUGUCAGAUCAAACCCUAAUUCUAGGUGUUGUUUGUAUAUUGGUCCUUUCUCUUGUUUAUUUAAUAAUUAAAAUUGAUACUUAAGAACCGUCAACAAAUACCCCCAUACUUAGGCUUUUACUCGUCCUCGAGAAAAGGAUGGUUAAGAACAAUAUCUGGGGUAAAACAUUUUAAAACAUUCUCUUCAUACCUGCAGGGUGUUUAAAAAUCCACUGUGUACUAUAGUCAGGGAAAUAUAUGGUUAAGAGUAAAGAUCCUUUCUUCUUAAUCCUGUCAUUUGGAGUUUUUGUAUAUUUUUGAAAGAAAGUUAGCUUACCUUUUAUCCUCAUAGGUUCUCUCAGAUCACACUUUAUCUUUUAUAUAUCUCACUGAGGCUGUUUUAAUUUGCAAAAAUUCUCAAGCAUACUUACCUUGCAUUUAUUGCUUGAUCAAAACGGGAUCCGACGAGAAAAAUGUCAUACUCUUAGAUCAAAGACUUUGGGAAUUUAAAAUUUGUCAACUCUUGCUGGCAUAUUGCUUAUUAUAGGGACCAUGGGCUAUCAUUUUCUUUCUUUUCUCUUCUUUUUUUUAAGUGGAUACCGAGGCACCCCUAAUUCUACUGUCGGACACUUGUCCAUUUUUUCUGCGAGGUUGUCGAGCACUUGCUCCUUUUUAUUUCCUCGAAAUAUCUUUAUUUUUGCAUAGCCCAUGCCUCUAAUGCAAUAAUACUUCAGAAGAGUGAAUCUUUCUGAAUAAAUGUCUUGAUCUUAGGAGCAUGAUAAAUCUCUCAACAAGGGUCUAACUCAUUUUGAACAAACUCAAUACAGAGUAGAUAGCUUUUAUAAUCAUAAUUAAUUUUUCUAGUUUUAUCAGGCAUAUAAAAUACUGAGGAUGGUAGCUAGAAUUUUUGAAGAUUUUGAAAUAAAUUCUCCAAGUAAAAAUGAUAUCAAGAAUAAGAAACUCAUACUCUACCAUCUCAUAUUCCAUAAUGACUUAAGUAACACGGGGUUUUUAAAAUGAUUUUUCAAUAAUUUGUAGUUUCCAGGAAACAUCAGAGAGUGAGAUUAAUCAUGAUUAGAAACAUUUUAAUCUUGUUAAUUUAUCAUGUCGAAAACAAUAUUCUGCAUAAUCCAAGAUAUGUGUAUGCGUAAAGUGUGCAGAGUGUGUACCUGAAUCGUGGAGUGGUGUAGUCGAAGUGUGUUUGGCAUGUCGAGGGAUCUCCCUCAUACUUGUUUUCUGCUUUCUUACACAAGAAUAAAGUGGAGACACACAAGACAUAAUAGUAAUAAUAAUAUUCUUUAUUAAUCUUGAGGCAUUUAUUACAAAUCACUAGUAGCAAACUGACGAUAAUAGUAACAAACUGAUGAUAAUAGUAAACCUAAACCAAAUUUUAAAGAUAGAUAACUAAGAUGCAUUGCCUCAAGAUCUAAUCUAGAUAACUUAGCGGCGCUCUAAUUCCUUAAUCUUCUUAUUGGCACUGGCAAGAUCCUGCCUAAGGCCUAAUAUAACGGUGUUGUGGUUAGAGAGCUGCCUAGUGAUGGAAUUAACUGAGGACUGGAGGUCUAUGAUAACUCUGUCUAGCCUACGAACGUCCUCAUCAAUAUCUACUAUAGUCUUGCGACGCUUGGGAGGUGUCUCAAAAGCAUUGAGAGCGUGCUUCGGGGCUGCCUUUGGAGGGAUGAAACGGACUUUGGCUGCUCUAAUCCCUUCGAAGUAAGGUCUCUCCUCCUCCAUAGUGUAGCGAAUGUUGCUGAUCUCACCGCUCCGGUUGGUCUUGACUCCAACGACCCUCUCAUUGGGUCUAGGUGGAAGGAUCCUCGUGCCGGUUGGCACCUUGAUGGUGGUCUUUGUCUUGGAUGAUGAUCCCUUGAGAAGUAGAGGUUGUGGCGGUGCGGUGAGAACUGGUUGAGCAUGGUAGGAUUGGGCGGAGCUACGCUGGUGUAAUGACAUGGCUUCUAGCUGUCGCUCUGUGUUGGCCGGGACGAGAGCACGGGCGUCGGGGUCUUCUUCAGGCUUCAUGUUGAGGUUGAAGGGGACGACUUCCCAAUCGUCGUGGAACUCUUCGGCCAUUGGAGCAGCGAAGGACUAAUCAAGCUCUAAUUGAAGAAGAAGAGAAGGCUUGGUGGAUUGGUGUUUGAAAACUGAUGUCAGGGGUCUGUUUAUAUAGGGGUCAAAAAGUGCCUCUAGGGGUUUGUGAGAAACUUUCCAUCUGAGGGAUUAUUCGAACAUAGUCCAUUUCUGGUUGCUCCCGUCGAUGUGCGUGAGAAACUUUCCAUCUGAGGGAUUAUUCGGAUUACCAUAAGUGUAUUUUCCAUAACAGAGAAAAUCGGGACCGAGGGGGAACAGGAGCUAAGCGCCCACCCACUUGAUCAGGGCGCCCGCCCUCUCUCUGGCUCCUCUGUGGACCCGCUUCCUCGGGCGUGUUUCUAGAUGCAGAACUAAUUAGGAAACUAUAUGUAUGACCCAAAAACAUUAGAUUAAAAAGGUCGGGCUCUAAAUCUCCAUGGGAAAGUAAAAAUGGACUAUGUCUAUUUCUUCUAAUUCUUUAUUGGGCUCUAAAAAUAAUUUAAGAUGUUGACCAUUUACCUUGAAUAACGUACCUUCGUCAUUUUGAAGUGUGAUAGCUCCGUGGGAUGAUGAAUUGAUUACCUUGAGUGGUCCUUCCCAUUUUCUCCGGAGUUUUCCAUGCCCGAAAAGCUUCACCCUGGAAUUAAAAAGUAAUACCUUAUCUCCGGGUGCGAAUUCCUUCUUCUUGAUUCUCUUGUCAUGCCACCUUUUGACUCUUUAUUUGUAGAUCUUUGAAUUGUGAUAUGCUUUCUCUCGCCAUUCUUCCAAUUCUGAUAGUUGCAUUUUUCUAUGAUCUCCAGCGACAUCUAGGUCCAUAUUCCAUCUCUUUAUGGCCCAGUGUGCUUUGAACUCUAGUUCAACAGAUAGGUGGCAAGUCUUCCCGUACACCAAUUGGUAUGGGGACAUUCCAAUUGGAGUCUUGUAUGCUGUCUGGUAUGCCCAGAGUGCAUCGGGUAACUUGUCUUUCCAUGCCGUUCCCAUUUCAUUUACUGUCUUCUGAAGAAUAUUCUUGAUUUACUUGUUGGAAGUCUCUGCUUGGCCACUUGUCUGAGGAUGAUAGGCGGUAGCGAUGUUAUGACGGAUUCCAUGUUUUGAUAGAUAUUGCUUGAAGCGUUUGUCGAUGAAGUGUGCUCCUCCAUCACUUAUCACAACUCUGGGGACUCCAAAUCUUGGAAAUAUAAUUUCUUCAAACAUCCUCUUUGAACUGAUGUUGUCGGCACGCUUGCAAGGUAAUGCCUCUACCCACUUGGAGACGUAGUCAACUGCCACCAAGAUGUACUCACACUUCUUUGAUGGAGGAAAUGGACCCAUGUAGUCUAUUCCCCAAACAUCAAAGAGCUCAAUCUGAAGGUUGUUGGUGAGUGGCAUUGCAUCCCUUGUAUUUAUGUUUCCGUGCCUUUGACAUGGCCCACAUCUUCUGAUAUAUUGCUUCGUGUCUUCAUACAUUGUAGGCCAGUAGAAUCCACACUGCCAGAUCUUUGAAUGUGUACGGAAUGCUCCAUAGUGACCUCCAUAUGGUGAUGAAUGACAUCUGUCGAUAAUCUUCCAUCCUUCCUCAGUGGUCACACAUCUCCUGAGUAAGCCAUCAGAGCAUACUCGGAAGAGGUAUGGCUCAUCCCAUAUAUGUGAACGACUUUCUUGAAUAAGCACCUUCUUGUUUGCUCCUGUUGGUACAUACCCUGAAACCAUAAAAUUAGCAAUAUCUGCAUACCAGGGGUCAGACCUGUUAAUCCCGUAGAGCAUGUCGUCCUGAAGUGAAUCAUUGAUGGGGGUUUCCUGUGGACUCUUAAAAUACAUUCUAGACAAGUGAUCAGCAACAGAAUUUUCUACUCCCUUUUUAUCUUUUAUUUCUAUGUCAAAUUCUUGGAGUAAUAAGAUCCAUCUAAUCAGGCGAGGUUUAGCAUCUUUUUUAGUGAGCAAAUAUUUUAGUGCAGCAUGAUCAGUGUAAACAAUUAUUUUAGCUCCAACUAAAUAAGAUCUAAAUUUGUCAAUGGCAAAGACAACGGCCAGAAGCUCUUUUUCAGUGGUUGCAUAGUUAAGUUGAGCUCCUGUCAAAGUUUUACUGGCAUAAGCAAUUGCAUGAUGCUUCUUAUUUUUAGUUUGUCCCAAAACUGCCCCCACAGCAUAAUCACUAGCAUCACACAUAAUUUCAAAAGACAACGAACAAUCAGGGGGUUAGAUGAUUGGUGCAGAGAUGAGUGCUUUCUUUAAUAAAUUGAAAGAUGUUAGACAUGCAUCAUCAAAUUCGAAAGGAGCAUCAUUGGCUAGCAAAAGAGUAAGUGGUCUAGCAAUGAAUGAAAAAUCUUUUAUGAAUCUACGAUAAAAACCAGCAUGGCCAAGAAAGCUUCGAAUUCCUUUUAUAUUCACAGGUGGAGGUAGUUGUUCAAUUACUUCAAUUUUAGCUUUGUCUACCUCAAUACCUCUUUCAGAUACUAGGUGUCCCAGCACUAUUCCUUCUCUAACCAUAAAAUGACAUUUUUCCCAAUUAAGGACUAAGUGCUUUUCUUCACAUCUUUGCAAAACCUUGUCUUAGUUUUCAAGACAACUAUCAAAAGUUUUUCCAUAAAUAGAGAAAUCAUCCAUGAAAACUUCCAUAAUCUCUUCAAUCAUAUCAGAAAAUAUAGACAUCAUGCAUCUUUGAAAAGAAGCUGGUGCAUUACAUAACCCAAAAGACAUUCUAUGGUAAGCAUAAGUUCCAUAUGGGCAUGUAAAAGUGGUUUUGCUUUGAUCAUCAGGAUGGAUCGGGAUCUGGUGAUACCCUGAAUAUCCAUCUAAGAAACAAAAGAACGAAUGGUUUGCUAAUCGCUCUAGCAUCUCAUCUAUGAAAGGUAAAGGAAAGUGAUCCUUUCUCAUGGCUUUAUUUAGUUUUCUAUAAUCUAUGCACAUCCGCCAUCCUGUGACGGUGCGUUGCCGAAUUAGCUCGUUCUUUUCAUUCAUAAUAACAGUCAUGCCUCCCUUUUUAGGCACAACUUGAACUGGGCUUACCCACUCACUGUGCGGCACAGGAUAUAUAAUCCCUGCAUGCAGCAACUUUAUAACUUCCUUUUUAACUACCUCUCUCAUAGUGUUGUUAAGUCUACGUUGGGGCUCUCGAGAAGGUGAAACAUAAGGAUCUAUUGGAAUACGAUGGGUACAAAUCAUAGGACUGAUUUCUGUAAGAUCUUGGAGUGAGUAGCCGAAAACUGAGUGAUGUUUCUCAAGAAUGGUCAUUAAUCGUAGAGUUUGCUCCUGAGUGAGUUUAUCACUAAUGAUCAUAGGAAACUCUGGAUUAUUGUUUAGGAAAGCAUAGAUAAGACCGGGUGGUAAAGUUUUAAGCUCUAUGGGAGGUCUAGGUGUUUCUGCAAACUCAUCUAAAGGUUUAGGUUCAGAAGGUUCAGCUUCUUCUUCUGUGAAGAAAGGAGUUUCGUCUUCUAAGUCUUGUUCAUCUAAAAGCUCAAGAGAUGCAGCCUUUACCUCCUCCAUAGGAUCAGGCAAAAGAUAUGACUCGACCUUAUUAUUUAAGGAGUGUGAAAUUGUUAUGGGGAAUUUAAAAGUUUUUCCAAAAGAAAUAUGUAGCUUUCCAGUAUGACCUUCAUAAAGGAGUCUUCUAAAAGGUUGUCCUAUCAACAGGUCGAAGUCCCAUGUAUAAAAGAUAUAGAAGUUCAAAUGAACCAUGGAACCUUCUACUUUAAGAGGUAGGACAUUAAUAAUUCCAAGACUGGGGACUAAUCGUCCCGAAGAUUCCUUUAUGACCUUUGUUGUGGGGGUUAAAACAAGAUUUUUAAAUAGUUUAAGUGCAAAAGAUUCAGACAUGAUGUAGAUCCCCACAACAGGAUUAUAGAGAGCAUCAAAUCGAUCAGAAUUAUAAGCACAGCGUAUAGUUAUAGAGGGUGUGCCCAAACGGAUCACAUCAGAGGAAAGCUCUGAUUCCUCCAACCACUCGCUACUCAUAACUGAGAUAAGCUCUCUCAAUUGAUAUUCAGUUGGCAAACAAAUGCUAAGAUGGCCGUUUUGGGGUCUGUUAAUAGAAUGGUAGUUUGAAAUGUUUCCAAAAUCGGCAAAAAUAUCAGAUUCUAUAUCCAGCAUGAAGUCCGGUGGUGGAAUUUCUUCCUUUUGUGGCUCAGAACUUGGGAUAGCUAAAGUAGAUGAAGAAUUUGGCAGAUUGUCUACUUCGUCUUCGUAGGUUUCAUCAUGAAGGGUAUUAUCCAUCUCAGCUUCUAUGAUUCUACCUAAGAUCACUCUAGCUUCAUCAGUAGGGAUGCGAAAGAAAGAACCUCUAGACAUUGUAUGUAGCAUUUGUUUAUGAUCUUUCUAAAGACCUCGAAAAAAGUGAAAUAAAAGAACAGGGUCUUCAAGAUUAAGGUUUGGACCAGAUUCUAAAAGAUCAGAAAAACGUUUCCAGGAUUUUCCUAAAGUUUCAUUAUCUUUUUGUUUAAAAUAUAGGACUUCGAGUCUAAGGUCACCGAUACGGUCGAGGGAAUAAAAAUCUAGACAAAAGUUGGCUCGUAAAACUCCGCAUUCACCUCGUUGUUGACUUACCUUCUGACUGUACCAUUGUCUAGCUUCUCCCCUUAAAGAAAAAGGAAAAAGCUUCCAACGUAAAGUUUUAUCAGAAAUGCCUUCAAUGCGAAGACAAUCACAUGUUUCCUCAAAAUCUCUAAUAUGCAAGAGUUUUCGUCUUCCUUUCCCGAAAAAGAUAGGUUUUGAAUCAUGGCAAUCAACCUAGAACUUAUACUGAGAUGUUUGGAUAGGCUGUGAUGACUCCCAUGGUAAAAGGUCAGUUACUGAAGGGAUUGCAGAUUCAUGGAUCGAUUUAGAAUUUUGGUUUUCCAUAAGGUAGAAUAAAGAAAAUAAGCAAAGAAUAUAAAAGAUAAGAAAAGAUAAAAGUAUAGAUACAAGCUAGUAGUAAGACUCAAGGUUAUCUCAGCAAACCGUCUUUUUCCCCGGCAACGGCGCCAGAAAUGCUUGUUGAUAUUUGGGAACGCAAUAAGGAAUUGAUCCGCAAGCGCACGGAUAUCGGUGAGCACUUCACCCGGGAGGUUAUCUAGAGUAUCGUAUUUAUAUUUUUACAACUAGGAGAAAGAGUGCAUCUGACUAACCGGUCUAUUACUACUAACCCUUUAGGCAACAAAGAAUGUUUCUCGAUGUGAGUGAUAAAUAGAGAAGACUACAACCGUAAUCUCCUUCUAACCUUGGUAAGGAUGAUCUACUGUUCUAUUGGGGAGGCUAACGGAAUCUAGACACCACAGAGGAUGUUCAACCCGCACCUAUAAACCCUAUCCUUCCUGCUAACGAGAUAUGGUCUACAAAGGUAACUUGGAAAUGUUACGUUCCUCGCUACUACCACGAUCCAUCUAGUCAGGGAAUAUCUAUGAGUAUCCUAGCCUAACCACCACGUCUACGCUAGAGAUGAUUACUCUAAACUCUACGCGAAGAGAUUAAAGUAAACUCAUAAACCAAAAGAACAAUAAAACAAGAACUUACUAGAAUUUAGAAGUCGAAAUACUGAAGAAUCCUAGGAGCAAGCUUCGGGUUAGGAGAACUUGAUCCCGCAGGUACAAACUUGGAGUAGACACCGACAGGCCGGGCUUCCUCCGAUCUACCUCCACUCUAUCUCUCUCAAUCUAGUAGAAACUAGAAGAUCUAUUUCUACUCACAUUGGUUGCUAAGCCUAAAAAGAAAUUUUAUUUAGAGGAGAGGUAUUCCUUCGAGGGAUCCUCUCAACUCUAUGAAAAACUUGUCUCCUCCAGGGGUCAGGGGGUCUGGUUUUAUAGUCCCUUCAAGUGAAGUGAGCCAUUGGAUCAAACCGAUAUUGAUUGGACGGUUAUCCUUGAUCCUUUAGGUCGGUGGAGCGUCGUGUGCGAAAAGAGUCCCGAACCAAGUCCAAAGGGGGGCGGGCGCCCAGGUCAACUGGGCGGGCGCCCAGUGCCUGGUCCCGUUCGGCCUCCACUUCCUUCCCGUGGCUUCUGG
rnacentral:lncRNA from 1 species